GAGAACAGGCCUUUUGGGCUGUGCUUGCACUUCCUUCUAAAAUACUGGCUAAGCUGUGAUCCUUUGAUCCUCAAAUCCAACCAAGUCUCUGGUGCCAAGAUCACUUUUGAUUCUUUGUAAGUGGCAAAUUCCCGUAUGUAAUCCAACUUUUCUGCAAUAAUGCUCAUAUAGAAAUUUCCUCUGAAGAAAGGGUAGCUUUCGCCUACUAACAUCAUCGCGUCUUUGUAGUUAGGAGUGAAGAGCACAAGAUACUCAUCAGCAGGUAAUCCACAGUGCUUCAAGACCCUGUUUUGAGCUUGAAUUUCAGGUAUUGAGACGAA
rnacentral:lncRNA from 1 species